rnacentral:lncRNA from 1 species
UCAAAAUUACCUCCUCUAAUUCACCACUCUAACUCUGCUGUCUACUUCGCACACUGAUGUAGGGAUCAGUUGAGAAGUAUCACAACUUUAUUUCUAGUAAUAAUACUACUGAUACUAAUGAUAUAUUUUAAAAACUAGAGAGAAUUCUUUUUUUUUUUUUUUCCCUUGGAUGAUAUCUCUUUCAGUCCUCUGCAUCCUGUCAUUGUUUCUCCAGAGAAGAAGAAAGAGUCGAAGCUCUCAUGCUCACAAUGCCCGUGGGAAUGAAUACAGAUGUGAACUUCAACUGCUGGAUGUCUCACAGCUGAAAAUGCUAAGUUUUUCUCUAGAUUUCAACAUGCAAGUACCACAUUGUGGAAGCUGCUUUUCCUGCCUAUUGGAGUUAUGGCCUUGAAGUUUACUCUGAUGGACCCAAGUAUGGGCUUCUGCUGGUUAGUAUUUACAUUGUUCAUGCUGCAUUCUUCUAC